AAUCAUAUGAUUACAGGAGGUCUGGCAGGGGCCUGUGGGUUGAUACGCCCAGGUACGCUCUUCUCAGGGAACUGCAGCGGCCCCUACUGGCCUAGUAGGAUCUUGCCGAUGGAGGUCAUGGGCAUGGGCCUGGGCUGCAAGCCACACUCUUUCCUUUUCUUCCGGAAGGAGGGUAGAAGACAAAAUAAUAUCGAGAUCAUGCCAAUCUGCAGCCCCUCUUUCCUGGAGUAAAUGAACUGGACCAAAUCUCAAAAAUCCACGAUGUCAUCGGCACACCUGCUCAGAAGACCCUCACCAAGUUCAAACAGGAUCAGGAAUACCUCUACUGACAACCAAUUUGUCCCCACAAUGCCUCUCCCUCCUGCACGCAAUGGUGGCCUAUGAUCCCGAUGAGAGAAUCGCCGCCCACCAGGCCCUGCAGCACCCCUACUUCCAAGAACAGAGGAAAACAGAGAAGCGGGCUCUGGGCAGCCACAGAAAAGCUGGCUUUCCGGAGCACCCUGUGGCACCGGAACCACUCAGUAACAGCUGCCAGAUUUCCAAGGAGGGCAGAAAGCAGAAACAGUCCCUAAAGCAAGAGGAGGACCGUCCCAAGAGACGAGGACCGGCCUAUGUCAUGGAACUGCCCAAACUUAAGCU
rnacentral:sRNA from 1 species